GGUUAAGACACUAUAAUGAUAAAAAAUGAAGCAUUUUAUCUUGCAAAUCCUGUUUUUAUCAUGAACAAAACAAUCUUGAAUAGAACCUUUAAUGGGAAGAAAUUAACAGCUGAGU